UUUCCGUAGGUGAACCUGCGGAAGGAUCAUUAUUAAAUUAAAAGGGUGCACUUCAUUGUGACUCUAUAUAAAUUUAAAAUUAUAACCCUUUAAACCCAAAACUGUCUUGUGUGCUUUAACGAGUAUAGCAUUUCAGUAGUACGCAUCAGGGACUUUAUUGUUCAAGUUGCAUUACCCCCCCUUAUAAGUGACCCCUUAUUUUUUGAAAUCAUUAACACUUACAAUGUUUUUAGAAUGUAAAAUUGAAUCAUGUCGGAAUUAAAUAUAACUUUUAACAAUGGAUCUCUUGGCUCUCACAUCGAUGAAGAACGCAGUGAAAUGUGAUAAGUAAUGUGAAUUGCAGAAUUCAGUGAAUCAUCGAAUCUUUGAACGCACCUUGCACCUUUUGGUAUUCCAAAAGGUACACCUGUUUGAGUGUCAUGAAACCCCCUCGUCCUGAUUCUUUAUUUAGUUAAGGAGUUGGUGACGGAUGUUGAGUGUUGCCGUAAUUGGCUCACUUUAAAUACAUAAGUACUUUUAUUGAUAAAUAAAUGGAGAAAUACUUGGUGUGAUAUUCAUGAUCAUCGAGGAGUGUAGGGUUUACUCUGCAGCCAUUUGAAUUUUGAUAAAUAGCUUCCUAACCCCAGAUAUAUGACCCUUUAGACCUCAAAUCAGGUGGGAUUACCCGCUGAACUUAAGCAUAUCAAUAAGCGGAGG
rnacentral:rRNA from 1 species